CCACAUUCCUCUGCUUUCCAAAUACUAGGAUUAAAGGGUUUUUGAAUGCUGUUAUGGUUUAGACAGGAAGUAUCUACCCAAAGGCUCACACGUUGAAGGGUACCAGCCAGCCCAGCAUUCUUGUUUCCAAUAUGGUUACACUAGAACCUUAACAGAACCUUGGUCUCAAUGCCAGCCUGGGAUAUAAGAAGCAAUAGGCAAGAGCUGCCUGGAAGGAACACGAUCAGAAGUCCAGUUUUGUGGCAGCAGUCUAAGACUAAAGCACAGAGUGAUAACUUUCAAGAGAAAACCAAACCUAUGCAAGUAGACAAGGUGCAAGGUUCUACAGGCAGGUGAGGAUGGGCAU
rnacentral:lncRNA from 1 species